UGUGUGUGUGUUGGAAUAAUGCAGAGCUGUGCACUUCUUUACUUCCUGUAUGUGGUCGGAUCUGAAUGCGGUUAGAUUCCAUUAGCGCUUUACAGCAGUUUAGGAUGAAAUGGUAACGAGUGAUGGUAAUGUGAACAUGUGGAAAAAGCUGAUAUCUUUCUGGGGGAGGUGUGGGAGACGUGUUAGGGAUAUGUUGGGAGAUGUGUUGGGGAUACAUUGGGAGACGUGCUGGGGAAGUCUUGGGGAUAUGUUGGGACACGUGUGGGAGACGUGUUGGGGAUAUGUUGGGAGACGUGUUGGGAGACGUGUGGGGGACGUGUUGGGAGA
ensembl:lncRNA